AUUGAACGCUGGCGGCAGGCCUAACACAUGCAAGUCGAACGAGUGGCGGACGGGUGAGUAAUGUCUGGGAAACUGCCUGAUGGAGGGGGAUAACUACUGGAAACGGUUGCUAAUAACGCAUACCAUCAGAUGUGCCGAGAUGGGAUGAGCGAGUUGGAGGGGUAAAGGCUCACCAAGGCGACGAUCCCUAGCUGGUCUGAGAGGAGGACCAGCAACACUGGAACUGAGACACGGUCCAGACUCCUACGGGAGGCAGCAGUGGGGAAUAUUGGACAAUGGGCGAAAGCCUGAUUCAGCCAUGCCGCGUGUAUGAAGAAGGCCUUCGGGUUGUAAAGUACUUUCAGCGGGGAGGCGUUACCCGCAGAAUAAGCACCGGCUAACUCCGUGCCAGCAGCCGCGGUAAUUC
rnacentral:rRNA from 1 species